UGUAAAGGUCUCGGUCCGCACAAACACGCCUCUGGACAGAAGUCUUACCGACAAAUUGAACAAGAAAUGGUUGUUGAACUGGGGAGACCAGUGAGUUUCGGUGAGGUGUUCAUCAAGGCUAAUACCAAGAAAGAUGGGACGUUUGUUGAUCUGAAAGCAAAGCAAGUUGCUAAGGCCUAUACGAAGAAAAAACAAGAGAAGUUGACUGAUCUUGAGUCUAAUAUCACAGACCUUUCGGAUGGUCGUAUUCCUGUGCUAAUAGUAGAAUAAGAUAACGACCUCUUUAUUCAGUCCACAUUCACAAAUGAUAGAGGAGCACUGUUUGGUAUUGGAAGCCUCAAGAGUAUGCUCAAGGGAAA